ensembl:snoRNA small nucleolar RNA, C/D box 11B
UGGUGGCAGUGAUGAUUCUUGUGAUGCUGCAUUCCUGAUAUACAAACUGAAGGGCUGCAUAGUCACUACCCUCUUCUGAUGCCAUCU